CCUACGGGUGGCAGCAGUGGGGAAUAUUGGACAAUGGGCGAAAGCCUGAUCCAGCCAUGCCGCGUGUGUGAAGAAGGCCUUCGGGUUGUGAAGCACUUUCAGUGGGGAAGAAAGCCUUGGGGCUAAUACCCUCGAGGAAGGACAUCACCCACAGAAGAAGCACCGGCUAACUCCGUGCCAGCAGCCGCGGUAAUACGGAGGGUGCGAGCGUUAAUCGGAAUUACUGGGCGUAAAGCGCGCGUAGGCGGUUUGAUAAGCCGGUUGUGAAAGCCCCGGGCUCAACCUGGGAACGGCAUCCGGAACUGUCAGGCUAGAGUGCAGGAGAGGAAGGUAGAAUUCCCGGUGUAGCGGUGAAAUGCGUAGAGAUCGGGAGGAAUACCAGUGGCGAAGGCGACCUUCUGGACUGACACUGACGCUGAGGUGCGAAAGCGUGGGUAGCAAACAGGAUUAGAUACCCUGGUAGUC
rnacentral:rRNA from 1 species